GACGAACGCUGGCGGCGUGCUUAACACAUGCAAGUCGAGCGGUAAGGCUCCUUCGGGAGUACCCGAGCGGCGAACGGGUGAGUAACACGUGAGUAAUCUGCCCUUCACUUCGGGAUAACCACCGGAAACGGUGGCUAAUACCGAAUACGACCAGUCUUCGCAUGAGGUGCUGGUGGAAAGUCUUUUCGGUGAAGGAUGUGCUCGCGGCCUAUCAGCUUGUUGGUGGGGUAAUGGCCUACCAAGGCUUCGACGGGUAGCCGGCCUGAGAGGGUGACCGGCCACACUGGGACUGAGACACGGCCCAGACUCCUACGGGAGGCAGCAGUGGGGAAUAUUGGACAAUGGGCGAAAGCCUGAUCCAGCAACGCCGCGUGAGGGAUGACGGCCUUCGGGUUGUAAACCUCUUUCAGUACCGACGAAGCGCCCUGUCGGGUGGUGACGGUAGGUACAGAAGAAGGACCGGCCAACUACGUG
rnacentral:rRNA from 1 species